UACGCUUUCUAUUAACUUACAACAUGCAUAAUUACCCCAAUCCUUUUCACUAGCCAACCCCUAAUAUUGUUUACAAAUUAUUACAGACCAAAUACUGAAUUACAAAUAAAUAAAUAUAUGAAAGAAAAGCUACAACCAUAGGAAGCCUGAUUUGACUUCCUAUUUGAGAUAUGCAAGGAACCGUAUCAUUGCCAAUGUUAUUCCAAAGCCUUUCUCAUACCUGGAUGUGUCAAAGUUCCCUAAGGGUCUCAAGGGGCCCCAAGCAGUGCUCACACCCAGGAUUGCAUAACCAGACAGAAAUGGGUACACUAUGGAAGGGCCAGCCUUUAUGUGUCCAAGUUCAGAGGGAACUCAAGGGUUUUAAGGCAAGCUUCACGCAAAAGGGGCACAACCUAGGUUCUAGGAAUAUAGUGGAAGUGCAGAACAGAGAUUGACUAAAACUGGGUUGGAAAUAGUAAGUGGUAAAAUUGAUUUUUAAAAAGUAGUAGUAACGCUUAAAAUACACAGAAUCAGUAGUUGCACAAAGGUUUCAAGGGGUUUAGGGAAUAUAUUAUAUGAAGUAUAUGACCUCAGAAAGGGGCAAGUUUGGUCAUGCACAACAAUAGAUGAUGCUGGCAUGCCCACAAACCAACCAAAGUAUUACAAACACAUAUAUGGGAUACAGUGUUUGGGAUUCAUAUGUCAGGAAAUCACAUAAUAGAGUACAUACAUAGGGAAACAUUAAUUAGAAGGGGAAGGGAUUAUGGGAUACAUUGUAUAACCCCAAUAGAGGUCUGAUUUGGUCAUGCACAGCAAUAGCUGAUGCUGGCACGGACACAAACCAUCCAAAGGAACACAUAUAGGGGUUGGUUUGGAAUUCAUAAGUCAACAAAUCACAUAACAAGCGACUGACAUAGUACAUACAUAGGGAAACAUUAAUCUAAAAGGGGAAGGGAACAUAUUCCAUCAUGCUAGUAGUGUAACUUGUCAGUAGAGAAGCAAAGUGCAGAAAGGUAAAGCAAACAAAAGUCCACAGUCUAGCCUUGGUUUUGAGCCGGCUAGACAAAGCAAUAGCACAAGUAGCAAAGAGUUUUAAGUGUAAGUGUGUGUUUUGAACUCAAGUUGUUCAUCUCCUUAAAAGAAAAGAGAGUAGGUAUUUAUAGUUUUGAAAAUGAGUAAAGAAAAGGAAAAUUCUUAAACAAAAACAUAGAAAUAAUCAUAAUUAGAAUCAAUUAACCCAAGUAAUUCCCUUCAUUUAAGGAAUCAUGGCUUAACGGGUACUAACAAGUUUCAAUAAAGGAAAGAAAAUCAGUUUAUGACAGAUUGAUUAUUGCCAUAUAAUGGGCAGUAAAAGAAUGAAGUAAAUAAUCAAGUCUAAGUACAAAAUUUGCAUAUUUUGGGAAAAGGAUUCAGCAAGGCAAGACAUCACAGUAAAGGAAAUGAAUCAAUUAAAUAAACAGAUAAGUAAAAGUUAGGGCUCAUAAGAAAAACCUUUUGCAAGAGGAAAUCAAGAUCAAUUAAGAAAGGAACAUGAUUCUACAUUUCACCAUAUAAAUAGGAAGGAAUGAGCAAGUAUGCAGAGUUAAACGAGUUGACAAAAGAUGUAACACAAACAUAC
rnacentral:lncRNA from 1 species